rfam:Habropoda laboriosa contig11566, whole genome shotgun sequence.
GGUCACGUGGACUCACUCAACCUGGGUGUGAUGCUUGCCUGUGCACCAGGCCCUAGUGGUCAUCACAACCUUUUUGAGUGAGCGAACGCGACC